rnacentral:rRNA from 1 species
UACGUAGGGGGCAAGCGUUGUCCGGAUUUAUUGGGCGUAAAGAGCGUGUAGGCGGCCUUACAGGUCAGCUGUGAAAACUCGAGGCUCAACCUCGAGACGUCGGUUGAAACCGUAGGCUAGAGUCCGGAAGAGGAGAGUGGAAUUCCCGGUGUAGCGGUGAAAUGCGCAGAUAUCGGGAAGAACACCCGUGGCGAAGGCGGCUCUCUGGGACGGUACUGACGCUGAGACGCGAAAGCGUGGGGAGCGAACAGG